UGUAAGCGUAUACCAAAGUUGUUGCAGUUAAAACGCUCGUAGUCGGAAUUUGGCAGUUCCGGAUGUGUGCACGUCGUGUGCGCACUUCGCGGGGAUUGCUUUUGUGGUCUUGCGUAGGAUGAGGCACUUUUAUUAGUGAACGUCCUCACGCAACCACUUUUUACUGUGAGAAAAUCAGAGUGCUCAAAGCAGGCAUUUGCCGUGAAUGUAUUAGCAUGGAAUAAUAGAAUAGGACUUGGUUCUAUUUUGUUGGUUUGUUGGUACUGAGUAAUGAUUAAGAGGGACAGUUGGGGGCAUUUGUAUUUCGGUGCUAGAGGUGAAAUUCUUAGAUUACCGAAAGACAAACUGCUGCGAAAGCGUCUGCCAAGGAUGUUUUCAUUGA
rnacentral:rRNA from 1 species